CAGGCAUGACUUGUAACAAAAUGGGCAUCAAUCGGCCAAGGGUUGCACCUCUCGGCCACUUGCAUCCAAUUGCCCAAACUGACUUGGUUUGGGUCAGAUAUAAGCCCAAACCAUUACCCAAGCCAUCUGGACUUAGCCCAUGGCCUUGUCCAAGGACCCAACAGCCCAUGGCCACAUGGCCGGACCAAACGCCCCACCACUGACCCAGACCCGGACCAUCGGCCCGAAACCCGAACAGUCUGUCCAGCUGAGAUGAGCUGGCUCCCAGCUGACCCAGCUGAGUGAGCUAGUAGUCCAGCUAGUGGAGCUGACUUAGUACUGGCCGAGCUGGAGUGAACUGAACCUAGCUUCGUUGAGCUGGUCGAGCUACUCGUUCACUUCGUCCAGCUACCGUCUUACUCCUAGCUGACUCCUUUCUCUCCCACUCUUGUUUGGUUAAGUUUUGCUAUACUUAACGCUUUUAUUCGGACCAUAGAACGCUUGUCUUUGAUCGGACUGAUCGACAAUACGUGUUCCUCGAACCAUGGUCCGUCCCGACAAUAUUACUCAGGAUUGGGGAUGUUACAACGACCUUGCAUUGAUAGCUCCAAAACAACUUUCUACACAAACAUCAAUAUUGGAUCUAAAAACCAGAUAACUUUGAAGGGGUUAUUAGGAUUUGUGAGGAUGAUGAUCGCGGAUGAACCUUUUUACCGCCUCAAAGAGAAAAAAAUGCAUUGAAUGAGGAAUUGUGCUUGGAGUGCGUCAAAGGAGUUUAUAACGGUUUACGGUUCCAAGGCGAAGAAACUCAUACGAAAAGACACGAAGGUGACGUGAAGGUGGCGUGAUCCAGAGAUUUGUCAUGUAGAUUCGUCCCUCACAACCCUCCCGAAACUCCAUUGUCAUUUAUGUAAUCAGAGCUUGAAGAACACGAUGAAAUCUAGAUCGACUUUCUUAAAGACAUGAAUGCGGGCUAUGAUAUUAUUAUUUUUAACAGCCCAAAUAAAAAAUAUCAAAACCCAAUAAUUUAAACCGUGAAGCCCACAUCGAUUGUAGACUUAAGUUAAUGAAAUGCUGUAUUUUGAUGGGGGACACAUGUCGUUUCCUCGUGCAACGACUUUCAUACGUGGAAUCACAUGUGGCGCAAAGAAGAGUGAAAGACCAUUUCUUUAUACUAAUAUAUAUAUUUCUUAUUUGCAAACCGUUCCUGAACCAAUUAGUUUAAUUUCAUUCAGUUUUGAUUAUUAUUAAUCAUAUUCAAUAUUUCCCUAACCUAAUCGUGUAAUAUAUAUAUUAUGACUUUCUUCUUCUUCACCAAAUUUCAGCCACCAUCUUUAUUAAAUUGUGCGAGAGAGCAGUAAACCAUCGCGCACCAUCUUCUUCUCCUCUUCUUAUCUCCUUGUUUCUCGCUUGUUCUUAUCGGAGUUGCAUGUGAUUAUGUGUGCUGCUGCGUUUGACACCACCAACCACCACGACCGGAGCCACCGUUUCAAUCUGACCAGCCGUGAUCCUCAACUGUGAGUCACCGGAGAGGGCUAUGCACUUUUGGGGCUGAGAUCCGCCACUAUGAUUCCAAGCCGUGAAGGUUAAAAGAGAUUAUAUUAAUUUCUUGUGUUGCAAGUUUCUUAAACCCUAGAUUAAUAAUAUUUUAAUCAUGUCUCAUUGUUUUGCCUCUAUUCUUUUCCGAUCUGGUGUGUCAUUGACGAGAUCAAGAUUCAUGGUGAAACCUUAGCUUUCUUGGUGAUCAAAUCAUUUCGUUUGUCUUCUAAUCCGUUUCUGGUUUCCGUUAUUGGCUAAGGUGAAGCAAUUUGCCACGUUUGUCAAAGGUCUACCUUAACGUCCGCCAGGAGAUGGAGCUGCGAAGAAGAAAAAAGAAAAAAGAAGAAGCUCAUAGACCACGAUAGUGGUGAUUGAAGGAGGAGGGGAGUUAGUGGUGGUGCUCCUCCGCAGAACAAUGGACCGCCAGAAACUGCGAUAUACUCUGCUCCACAAGAUCAUUAUCAUCCUCCUCAUCAGCAUAUGUAUCCAAUGGCUCCCAGUCCUCCAUGUCACCAUAUGGACGAACCUCAUCCUCUUGUUUGUGUUUGUUAUGAUGGGUUCGGUUGAUUCUUUGUUUGGAAAAAUGCAAGUAAAAUUCUCAAAGGAAAAAUAGUGAUGCUGCGUAAGAGGGUGAAUAACUCAUCCUCUUCCUCCAUUUCUUA